rnacentral:rRNA from 1 species
GUUGAACGCCGGCGGCAGGCCUAACACAUGCAAGUCGAGCGGAUGAAGGGAGCUUGCUCCUGGAUUCAGCGGCGGACGGGUGAGUAAUGCCUAGGAAUCUGCCUGGUAGUGGGGGAUAACGUCCGGAAACGGGCGCUAAUACCGCAUACGUCCUGAGGGAGAAAGUGGGGGAUCUUCGGACCUCACGCUAUCAGAUGAGCCUAGGUCGGAUUAGCUAGUUGGUGGGGUAAAGGCCUACCAAGGCGACGAUCCGUAACUGGUCUGAGAGGAUGAUCAGUCACACUGGAACUGAGACACGGUCCAGACUCCUACGGGAGGCAGCAGUGGGGAAUAUUGGACAAUGGGCGAAAGCCUGAUCCAGCCAUGCCGCGUGUGUGAAGAAGGUCUUCGGAUUGUAAAGCACUUUAAGUUGGGAGGAAGGGCAGUAAGUUAAUACCUUGCUGUUUUGACGUUACCAACAGAAUAAGCACCGGCUAACUUCGUG